GAAGCCGCCCGGUGGAUGGCUCGGCUCGGGCGCCGAGGAAGGGCGCGGCAAGCGGCGAUAUGCCCGGGGUAGCCGCAGGCAGGCGUUGAUCCCGGGAUCCCCGAAUGGGGCUUCCCACCUGGGCCGAAUAGGCUCAGGUACCCCGUAGGGGGUGGGAACGCGGGGAACGGAAACAUCUUAGUACCCGCAGGAGGGGAAACCAAAAGGGAUUCCCCGAGUAGGGGCGACCGAAAGGGGAGGAGCCCAAACCGAACCCCCAUGGGUUAACCGUGGGGGGAUGUGGUGUUUGGGCUUGGGUACCGCCGGGGUGGCCUAGCCGAAGUGGGCUGGAAAGCCCCACCGAAGAGGGUGAUAGUCCCGUAGGCUAAAGGCCGCCUGGCGGAGUCCCAAGGUCCCGGAGUACCACGGCUUGGUUUUGCCGUGGGAAUACGGGGGCCUCCAGCCCCUAAGGCUAAGUACGUCCCGAGUCCGAUAGCGAACAAGUACCGUGAGGGAAAGUGCGGGUUCCCAGGACGCGCAUGGCUUAGUUCAUCCAGCGACCCGCGGUUCAUUGGUUAAUUGUCUUACCUUCACCUAAACCCCACCGGUGGGGUUGGGGGAUUGCCUGUAAUGGGCCUUGCCCAAAUGCCCGUUAAGCCGCGGGUCCAGGUGUUACGCAGUUUAGUCAUUGUGUUGCCUUACCUGGGGCCCGCACCCCUAGAGCUGAAAAGAACCCCGCAAGGGGUGUGAAAAGAGCCUGAAACCGGGCGGUUACAGGUGGGGUGGCCCUCAAGGAUAACCCCACCCGAAGGAAACCGGGGCGACCCGGGAGUACGAGGGUGGGGUACGGGGUCACCCCUUACGUCCAGAAACACGAGCCAGGGAGUUCCCACCUGUGGCGAGCCUAAGGGGGUUAACCCCGGAGGCGUAGGGAAACCGAAGGCCCGCAGCCGGGUAACCGGUGAGGGGCUGGGUCUGUUAAGGGCCCGUAGUCACAGGUGGGAGACCAGAAACCGAGCGAUCUAGCCCGGGGUAGGGUGAAGCGGGGCGAAAGCCCCGUGGAGGCCCGCUAGGGGUUCUGACGUGCAAAUCGUUCCCGUGACCCCGGGCUAGGGGCAAAAGACCAAUCAAGCUCGGUGAUAGCUGGUUCCCCCCGAAGCAGCUCUCAGGCUGGCCUCCCCAAAGGGUGCCCACGGGGUAGAGCACUGAUCCGGGAUGCAGGGGCCGAAAGGCUCCGGUCCCGGGUCAAACUCCGAACCCGCGGGCCCCGUAGAAGGGGGGAGACGGGUUCCCCAGGGGUAAGCUUGGGGGCCGAGAGGGAAACAACCCAGACCGGGGUUAAGGCCCCAAAGUGCGGGCUAAGUGUCAAUCUAGAAGGGUGUCCCCCACCGAAGACGGCGGGACCGUAGGCCCAGCAGCAGCCAUCGGCUAAGCAACGCGUAACAGCGGACCCGCUGAGGUGGGGGGCCCCGAAGACGCACAGGGACUCAAGCCCGCCGCCGAGACCCCGGCCCACGGGCCAUUGGCCCGCGUGGGGUAGGGGGGCGUCGCCGUGGGGCAGAAGCCGGGCCGUGAGGUCCGGUGGACCCGCGGUGAAUGAGGAUCCUGGCGGUAGUAGCAGCGAAGAGGGGUGGGAUACCCCUCCGCCGGAAAGGCUAAGGGUUCCAUGGUAAUGAUCAUCAGCCAUGGGUUAGCCGGUCCUAAGGCGGGGCCUAACUGGCACCCGCCGAAAGGGAAACGGGUUAACAUUCCCGUGCCGUGGGGGUAGGUUUGCGGCAACGCAGGCCCCACCCCCGACGCCUCGGGAUAGGGUGAGUGGGGCUGCCGCCCCAUUUAACCGUCGAAGGCCGGGGAGUGCCGUCAUGGCGAGAACCGGCUGAAGACGGUAAUAGCCGGGCCUUGAGCCUGGUUCACCCGACUCCCGGGGCCCAUGAAAAGGGGGUGGGGAACGAGCCCCCACGACCGUACCAAGAACCGACACAGGUCGCCUGGGUGAGAAGCCCAAGGCGGCUCGGGUCACGCCAGGCUAGGGAACUCGGCAAAUUAGCCCUGUAACCUCGGGAUAAAGGGUGCCCGCGGCCCUGGGUAAACCCCGGAGCCGUGGGUCGCAGUGGCAAGGGGGACCUGACUGUUUAACAAAAACAUAGGUCCCCGCAAGCCCGCAAGGGUUUGUACGGGGGCUGAAUCCUGGCCACUGGCGGUACGUGAAACCCGGGUUCAACCGGGCUAAGCGCCGCUGAAGGCCGGGGGUAAACUCGGCCAUCCGCAGGCCGUUGAAGGUAAAGAUGAGGGUUCCGUGCCUACCAAGUCAGGUUAAAAAGCCUUACGGCCUGCGGAGGCCGGGGCCCAGCUCUGACCCUCUUAACGGGGGUGUUUCCCCGCACGUGUUUAAAUGUACAUGGGCGUUAGAGUUAAAUGCUAAGGUUGUGUUUGUCCUUCUCCAUGGAGUCGGGUUGCGUGGGUGGCGAUAUUGCCAUAGGGUAUGUUGUUGGCUUUAUUGAUGCGGAGGCCAGUUUCUCGGUGUCGAUAAAGUAUCAGCGGGGAUAUGGUCUGAGGCUAGAUCUUGUCUUCAGCAUUUCGCAAUUAAACAGGGAGCCGCUUGAAAUAAUACAUGGCGUAAUUAAUGCAGGGAGGAUAAUCAAGAAACCGGGACAGAAACAUCUAUACCUCUAUAUUGUUGACAAUAUCAAAGAAUUAACAGAAUGCCUAAUACCAUUUUUAGAUAGAUACCGACAUCUCUUGCACUCAAAAGGUAAGGCCUAUAGUCUAUUUAGAGAAAUCUUGAUCUCGCUGUCUAAAGGGGUGCAUAGAGAAAGGGAGGGGAUGCGGAGGCUCGUGGUACUGGCAUACGAACUUUCACAUGUAAACCCCAAGUCACAUAGGAAAAGACCAAUUGAAGAAGUGUUGAAACUUCUUGAUUACGACUCAGUUCUUAGCUCCUAAUCUUUAUCCCUCUUUUUGCGGGGGACCCCCCGGGAGGAAGGUAGCCAAAUGCCUUGCCGGGUAUGGGCGACCGCGUGGGGUUCCACGUGGUCGUCCUCCGAGAGUUCCGGCGUGCAUGAAUGGAUCAACGAGGUCCCCACUGUCCCAGCCUGGCGCCCGGCGAACCCACCUCCAGGUGCAGAGUCCUGGGACCCCCGACGGGGCGAGAAGACCCUGUGGACCUUUACUGCAGCCCGCUGUUGGGGUGGGGGAGGGGGUGCAUAGUGUAGGUGGGAGCGAUGAACCACGGUCUCUGGGCCGUGGGGAUGCGUCAAUGAAACACCACCCAUUCCCUCCUCUGCCCCUAACCCUGGGGCCACCCCUGGGGGACAGCGGCGGGUUGGCAGUUUGGCUGGGGCGGCACACCCCUGAAAAGAUAUCAGGGGUGCCCAAAGCUCCGCUCAGGUCGGUCAGAAACCGACCGUGGAGGGUAAGGCCAAAUGCGGGGCUGACUGCCCCCUUGAACGCUAGGGGGGCAGGCGGGAAACCGGGGCCUAGCGAACGCUCGUGCCCCCACUGGAGGGGGCCGGGCAUGUCGGAAAAGGUACCCCAGGAGUAACCGGCUCGUCGCGGGUGAGAGUUCCCAUCGACCCCGCGGUUUGGUACCCAGACGUCGUCUCUUCCCAUCCUGGCGGUGCAGCAGCCGCCAAGGGUGGGGCUGCCCGCCCAUUAAAGGGGAACGUGAGAUGGGUUCAGACCGUCGUGAGACAGAGGGGGAUGGUCAGGUAUCGAAAGUAAUAUUUACCCUCGAAUUAUGGAAAAUACGGGGGUUCAUGCUGGAUUACCUAGCUGGCUUGGCGGCAGGAGAUGGAAGCAUCACGUUGGAUAAAUAUGGAAGGUGGAGAGUUAGAAUCUUUGACGCAUCAAAAGAGUUCUUAGAAGCCCUUUGCAUGUUAAUUAAUGCGGACAUGAAAUAUAAUUGUAGAAUUCAUUGGGAUGGCACGGUUUGGUAUUUAUCAAUAUAUAGCGAGGAAUUAGCCAAGGCUUUAAAGCCGAGACUAACGAACCCCAUAGAUACGCAUGAGUGGGUAAAAGGUUUUGUAGAUGCUGAGGGGAGUAUAUACAAAUGGGUAUGCAGGAACAACAAAGUGUAUUACCAAGUAGCUAUAACAAAUACUAAUAUUAACUAUAUAGAAAUCAUUGAAAAAGUGCUUAAAAACUUAGAAAUAGAGUAUAGAGUAGCCAUUACGAGAGAUAUGUGGAAACCAAGAUAUAGAGUUUUAAUAAACAAAAGGGAGUCGCUAAGGAGGUUUCUAAUGGAGGUAGGCUUCAGACACCCCCUAAAGGCAGAAAGGGCACGUCAUAUACUAUAAUUGACCCACGUUCUUAACCUGGCCUCCCCCUCCUCAAGAGGUCGGUCUCUACCUGUCGGGGGUGCUGGCCGCCUGCGGGGAAGGUGCUCUCAGUACGAGAGGAACGGGGCGCCGCGGCCUCUAGUCUACCGGUUGUCCGGCAGGGCAGUGCCGGGCAGCCACGCCGCUUGGGGUAACCGCUGAAGGCAUCUAAGCGGGAAACCCGCCCCUAAAAUAGGCGGCCGCCGCUCCUGGCCG
rnacentral:rRNA from 1 species